rnacentral:SRP_RNA from 1 species
AUGGGAGACUAGAAUGGACGUGUCUUUUGUGAAUUCGGUCAGAUCUGAAAAGAAGCAGCCGCAGCAAAAUGUGUGCGGGUUGUUUUAGUCUCCUUUCAU